GAUGAACGCUGGCGGCGUGCCUAAUACAUGCAAGUCGAACGAAACCUCUUUAUCACCGAGUGCUUGCACUCACCGAUAAAGGGUUGAGUGGCGAACGGGUGAGUAACACGUGGGCAACCUGCCCAAAAGAGGGGGAUAACACUUGGAAACAGGUGCUAAUACCGCAUAACCAUAGUUACCGCAUGGUAACUAUGUAAAAGGUGGCUAUACUACCGCUUUUGGAUGGGCCCGCGGCGCAUUAGCUAGUUGGUAGGGUAAAGGCUUACCAAGGCAAUGAUGCGUAGCCGAAUUGAGAGGUUGAUCGGCCACAUUGGGACUGAGACACGGCCCAAACUCCUACGGGAGGCAGCAGUAGGGAAUCUUCCACAAUGGGCGAAAGCCUGAUGGAGCAACGCCGCGUGGGUGAAGAAGGUCUUCGGAUCGUAAAACCCUGUUGUUAGAGAAGAAAGUGCGUGAGAGUAACUGUUCACGUUUCGACGGUAUCUAACCAGAAAGCCACGGCUAACUACGUG
rnacentral:rRNA from 1 species